rnacentral:tRNA from 1 species
GGGCCGGUAGAUCAGCUGGAAGAUCGCCACCUUGGCAUGGUGGAGGCCUCGGGUUCGAGUCCCGACCGGUCCA